GACACUGGGACCAGUGACUUUUCAUUGCAAUCAGUGACAGCCAUAGCAAUCUGUGACUUUACAAAGCAACCAAUGACUCCCAUAGCAACCAUUUACUUUCCAUAGCAACUAGUGAUAUUUCAUACCAGUUGGAGACUGCCAUAGCAACCAUGACUUUCCAUGAGGAAAUUUACUUCCCUUAAUAACCAGUAAUUUCCUGGAAGUUCCAUAACCAUUGAAAUAAAUUUCUUAAGUACAUACAUUGUACCUAUGAUCUCUACCAGCAUCAACUUAAUUCUUAGUAACCAGUGGAAUCCAUAGCAACCAGUGUCUUAUCUUCCAAUUUAAGCAAUCUUUAUCUUUCCAUAGCAACUGUUGACUUUUCUUUUCUUUUCAUAUCAGUUACAGACUUUCCAUAAGAACCAUUGACUUCCAUAGCAAAAUUUGAUUUUUCUAUAGUAACCAGUACCAUUGACUUUCAUAGCAACCUGCUGGCCAGCAGGAAUCGAAGGUCACUGCCACCUUUACUACCAGUAAAGAGCCAGGCUUUAUUGUUAGCUGACCCAAAUUGAUAAUGAAAGUUUUAUAAAUGGAAGCUAGACAAUGUCUUUUUCAGAAAUUUAGCAGGUUUAGCAUUUAUCUGUAUUUAUUUACCCUUAUUAUUUUCCUAAAAAAUACUAUAACAAAGUCACAAUUGAAUAUGUUUGUAAUGGUACAACAGUUAAAAAAUAGUUGCUUAAAAUUUCAGGGUCCAAGCCUGUAAACUGAGCCAAGCAAAAUAGAUAUGUGAUGGAGGAGACUGGUGAUUACAAACUAAUCAAAAGAAGAAAAUGUCAUAUCUUGGAUAAAAGUGGUUACCUUCAACAACUAGAUAUACUGGUUACAGUUAAAUUAAAUAUUGUUGUUAAGAAGAGUUUCCCUAUUCAUCUUAGAGGAACAGAAACAUGUUUGGAUGGAACAUGUGCUUAAACUUUGCAUAAGUUUUGUUGAAAUUUCCAUUUGAUACUGAAGAUGGUUGUUGAAUAUUGUUUGUUAACAAUAUCUAUGUGGCUUUAAAGAGAGAUGUUGAAAGGUGCAAUUUUAGUGCAAAAAGUGCAUGUUUAACAUGUUGAAUGAACAAACAAUAGUAUGCAGUAAAACACCAGGAAUCAUUAUGUUUUCAUAACAUUUUAACAACUAAGUAAAUGGGUCGGAAUGUCCAUCUAUCCAUCCACCAAAAGGAGAUAUCUACAUGUUAGUGAAACUUAAUACAUUAUAGAUGGAUAUAUCUCAUUGGGGAGAAAAAAUGGUGUUGAAUUUUUAUGCCCCCUUUGAAGGAGAGGGGGUAUAUUGUUUUG